rnacentral:rRNA from 1 species
UACGGAGAGUGCAAACGUUGUUCGGAUUCACUGGGCGUAAAGGGCACGUAGGUGGUCAGGCAAUUCGGUCGUGGAAUGCCGACGCUCACCGUCGGCACGCCGGUCGAAAAUACCUGACUCGAGGGCGUAAGGGGUCGCUGGAACUCUUGGUGGAGCGGUGAAAUGCGUAGAUAUCAAGAGGAACGCCGGAGGCUAACGCGAGCGACUGGUGCGUCCCUGACACUGAGGUGCGAAAGCUAGGGGAGCAAACAGG